rnacentral:rRNA from 1 species
UACAGAGGUCUCAAGCGUUGUUCGGAUUCAUUGGGCGUAAAGAGCUCGUAGGCGGCCGGUUGCGUCUGCUGUGAAAUCCCGGGGCUUAACCCCGGGCGUGCAGUGGAUACGGGCCGGCUGGAGGCAGGCAGGGGAGAAUGGAAUUCCCGGUGUAGCGGUGAAAUGCGCAGAUAUCGGGAGGAACACCGGUGGCGAAGGCGGUUCUCUGGGCCUGUACUGACGCUGAGGAGCGAAAGCGUGGGGAGCGAACAGG